UGGGGAAUAUUGGACAAUGGGCGCAAGCCUGAUCCAGCCAUGCCGCGUGGGUGAAGAAGGCCUUCGGUUGUAAAGCCCUUUGUCCGGAAGAAAAGCACUGGAUUAAUACUUCGGUGUUCUGACGGUACCGGAAGAAUAAGCACCGGCUAACUUCGUGCC
rnacentral:rRNA from 1 species